GGGUUGUGAGGUUAAGCGACUAAGCGUACACGGUGGAUGCCCUGGCAGUCAGAGGCGAUGAAGGGCGUGCUAAUCUGCGAUAAGCGCCGGUAAGGUGAUAUGAACCGUUAUAACCGGCGAUACCCGAAUGGGGAAACCCAGUGUGAUUCGUCACACUAUCAUUAACUGAAUCCAUAGGUUAAUGAGGCGAACCGGGGGAACUGAAACAUCUAAGUACCCCGAGGAAAAGAAAUCAACCGAGAUUCCCCCAGUAGCGGCGAGCGAACGGGGAGGAGCCCAGAGCCUGAAUCAGCAUGUGUGUUAGUGGAAGCGUCUGGAAAGGCGCGCGAUACAGGGUGACAGCCCCGUACACAAAAGCGCAUGUGCUGUGAGCUCGAUGAGUAGGGCGGGACACGUGGUAUCCUGUCUGAAUAUGGGGGGACCAUCCUCCAAGGCUAAAUACUCCUGACUGACCGAUAGUGAACCAGUACCGUGAGGGAAAGGCGAAAAGAACCCCGGCGAGGGGAGUGAAAAAGAACCUGAAACCGUGUACGUACAAGCAGUGGGAGCACAGGUUUACCUGUGUGACUGCGUACCUUUUGUAUAAUGGGUCAGCGACUUAUAUUCUGUAGCAAGGUUAACCGUAUAGGGGAGCCGGAGGGAAACCGAGUCUUAAUUGGGCGUUAAGUUGCAGGGUAUAGACCCGAAACCCGGUGAUCUAGCCAUGGGCAGGUUGAAGGUUGGGUAACACUAACUGGAGGACCGAACCGACUAAUGUUGAAAAAUUAGCGGAUGACCUGUGGCUGGGGGUGAAAGGCCAAUCAAACCGGGAGAUAGCUGGUUCUCCCCGAAAGCUAUUUAGGUAGCGCCUCGUGAAUUCAUCUCCGGGGGUAGAGCACUGUUUCGGCUAGGGGGCCAUCCCGGCUUACCAACCCGAUGCAAACUGCGAAUACCGGAGAAUGUUAUCACGGGAGACACACGGCGGGUGCUAACGUCCGUCGUGAAGAGGGAAACAACCCAGACCGCCAGCUAAGGUCCCAAAGUCAUGGUUAAGUGGGAAACGAUGUGGGAAGGCCCAGACAGCCAGGAUGUUGGCUUAGAAGCAGCCAUCAUUUAAAGAAAGCGUAAUAGCUCACUGGUCGAGUCGGCCUGCGCGGAAGAUGUAACGGGGCUAAACCAUGCACCGAAGCUGCGGCAGCGACGCUUAUGCGUUGUUGGGUAGGGGAGCGUUCUGUAAGCCUGUGAAGGUGUGUCGUGAGGCAUGCUGGAGGUAUCAGAAGUGCGAAUGCUGACAUAAGUAACGAUAAAGCGGGUGAAAAGCCCGCUCGCCGGAAGACCAAGGGUUCCUGUCCAACGUUAAUCGGGGCAGGGUGAGUCGACCCCUAAGGCGAGGCCGAAAGGCGUAGUCGAUGGGAAACGGGUUAAUAUUCCCGUACUUGGUGUUACUGCGAAGGGGGGACGGAGAAGGCUAUGUUGGCCGGGCGACGGUUGUCCCGGUUUAAGCGUGUAGGUGUGUGUUCCAGGUAAAUCCGGUUCACUUUAACACUGAGGCGUGAUGACGAGGCACUACGGUGCUGAAGUAACAAAUGCCCUGCUUCCAGGAAAAGCCUCUAAGCAUCAGGUAACAUCAAAUCGUACCCCAAACCGACACAGGUGGUCAGGUAGAGAAUACCAAGGCGCUUGAGAGAACUCGGGUGAAGGAACUAGGCAAAAUGGUGCCGUAACUUCGGGAGAAGGCACGCUGACACGUAGGUGAAGUGAUUUACUCACGGAGCUGAAGUCAGUCGAAGAUACCAGCUGGCUGCAACUGUUUAUUAAAAACACAGCACUGUGCAAACACGAAAGUGGACGUAUACGGUGUGACGCCUGCCCGGUGCCGGAAGGUUAAUUGAUGGGGUCAGCGCAAGCGAAGCUCCUGAUCGAAGCCCCGGUAAACGGCGGCCGUAACUAUAACGGUCCUAAGGUAGCGAAAUUCCUUGUCGGGUAAGUUCCGACCUGCACGAAUGGCGUAAUGAUGGCCAGGCUGUCUCCACCCGAGACUCAGUGAAAUUGAACUCGCUGUGAAGAUGCAGUGUACCCGCGGCAAGACGGAAAGACCCCGUGAACCUUUACUAUAGCUUGACACUGAACAUUGAGCCUUGAUGUGUAGGAUAGGUGGGAGGCUUUGAAGUGUGGACGCCAGUCUGCAUGGAGCCGACCUUGAAAUACCACCCUUUAAUGUUUGAUGUUCUAACGUGGACCCGUUA
rnacentral:rRNA from 1 species